rnacentral:rRNA from 1 species
GUGCCAGCAGCCGCGGUAAUACGUAGGGGGCAAGCGUUGUCCGGAUUUAUUGGGCGUAAAGAGCUCGUAGGUGGUUUGGUAAGUCGGAUGUGAAAUCUCCAGGCUCAACCUGGAGGGGUCAUUCGAUACUGCCAUGACUAGAGGUCGGUAGGGGAGUGUGGAAUUCCUGGUGGAGCGGUGAAAUGCGCAGAUAUCAGGAGGAACACCCGUAGCGAAGGCGGCACUCUGGGCCGAUUCUGACACUGAGGAGCGAAAGCGUGGGGAGCGAACAGGAUUAGAUACCCUGGUAGUCC